CCUACGGGAGGCAGCAGUGAGGAAUAUUGGUCAAUGGUCGGGAGACUGAACCAGCCAAGCCGCGUGAGGGAGGAAGGUACAGAGUAUCGUAAACCUCUUUUGUCAGGGAACAAAGACUGGGACGCGUCCCCGGAUGAGUGUACCUGAAGAAAAAGCAUAGGCUAACUCCGUGCCAGCAGCCGCGGUAAUACGGGGGAUGCGAGCGUUAUCCGGAUUUAUGGGGUUAAAAGGGUGCGCAGGCGGUCUGUUAAGUCAGCGGUCAAAGCCCGGGGCUCAACCCCGGCCCGCCGUUGAAACUGGCAGUCUCGAGUUGGAGAGAAGGAUGCGGAAUGCGCGGUGUAGCGGUGAAAUGCAUAGAGAUCGCGCAGAACUCCGAUUGCGAAGGCAGCAUGCCGGCUCCACACUGACGCUGAGGCACGAAAGCGUGGGUAUCGAACAGGAUUAGAUACCCGUGUAGUC
rnacentral:rRNA from 1 species